rnacentral:ncRNA from 1 species
GAAUCCCAACCUGCUCCAGGUUCCCCGAGCCUCGCGGCCGGGGUGAAACGGGAAGUCCGGACGGCCCGCACGGCCCAACCGGCGCUGCCCCCGCAACGGUAAGCGAGUGAUGGGCGGUCUUUGGCCACUGCGCCUGCGGGCGCGGGAAGGCAACCGUCCGGCGGCCCCGCCGCCAGCUCGUCAGCCCGGAGACCGGCCUGGAGCGGCUUGACCCA